rnacentral:tRNA from 1 species
GCGCUUGUUGUUUAGUGGCAGAAUAGCAGCCUUCCAAAUAAGAGUACUGGCACUUUGCUGCCAGUUGCUUGCCCUUGAAAGCUGUUGGCCCGGGUUCGAUUCCCGGCGGGCGCA